rnacentral:rRNA from 1 species
UUUGCAAGAAUAUAAAUAACAUUACACCCCCGAAGAUUGAAUGAGCUGUUAUAUAUUUGUUAAGAACCCACCAAUUAAUGUCGCAAUAUUAUUGGAAAAAUAUAUAUCAGAGGCUACAUACCUACCGCAUCAAUCGAUAUCUGGUUAUUCAUUAAACCAGCUUUAGCUGAAAAAGCUGACCCAACAACCAAUCACUCAACUCAGCUAUUUAACUAAAUUGAGGACAAGCUCAAUUUACCUAGCAUUAUUGACAUAAAAAUUUAUAUCAUAUGUAGGCUUAAAACCAGCCACCACAAACCUCGUUACAGAAAACAAAAAAUAAAUAUAUAACCCCAAUAAACCAAAAAUGAAUUAACUAAAAAAACACUAAUUUAGUAAAACUAUGCAAAGAUCAGUAUUACUUCACAAACAACCUAACCCCUAAACCAAUAUGUAGACAAGGAACUCGGCAAACCCAUAUUCCGCCUGUUUAACAAAAACAUAGCCUAUAGAGACUUCAUUAUAGGUACUACCUGCCCAGUGAUCUAUUUAAACGGCCGCGGUAUCCUGACCGUGCAAAGGUAGCAUAAUCAUUUGCCUUUUAAUUGAAGGCUAGCAUGAAUGGACAAACGAGAAUAUAGCUGUCUCCCCCUCACCCAUAAAAAUUUACCUUCAGGUGCAGAGGCCUGAAUUAAUAUAAAAGACAAGAAGACCCUGUCGAGCUUUAAUCUAAAAUAAGAGCCAUAAUAAAUAUUCAUAUAUGUUAUACCUUAUUACAGAUAUUUGUUGGGGCGACAAUGGAAUACAUUAAUCCUCCACCACACCACAGACCACAAGUCACUCCCCAGACCCUAUAAAGAUCUAAGGAACAAGCUACCGCAGGGAUAACAGACUAAUCCCCCUCAAGAGCCCAAAUCCACAGGGGGGCUUGGCACCUCGAUGUUGGCUUAAGAUCUCUUUUAAGUGCAGCAGCUUAAAAAGAGGGUUUGUUCAACCCUUAAUAUCUUACAUGAG